UCAAAAACAUCGCCUCUUGCAUUCCAAAGUAUAAGAGGUCCCACCUGCCCUGUGACUCUAAGUUUAACGGCCGCGGUAUUCUAACCGUGCGAAGGUAGCGCAAUCAAUUGCCUUUUAAAUGAAGGCCUGUAUGAAUGGUAUAACGAGGGUCUAGCUGUCUCUUUUUUCUAGUCAGUUAAACUGAUCUGUCCGUGCAGAAGCGGACAUUAAUAUACAAGACGAGAAGACCCUAUGGAGCUUUAGACACUAGCCAACUGUGAAUAAGCGACUGAACUGAGCAAGUCCUAAAUACCCGCAGCCUUAUGGUAAUGUAGUCUUAGGUUGGGGCGACCACGGGAGAAAGUAAAGCUCCCAAGCAGACCGGGAAAACCCUUAAGCCGAGAGUUGCAACUCUAAGCCGCAAAAUUUUUGACUGAAAUGAUCCGGUUGAAAAACCGAUUAACGAACCAAGUUACCCUAGGGAUAACAGCGCAAUCCUCUCCCAGAGUCCCUAUCGACGAGGGGGUUUACGACCUCGAUGUUGGAUCAGGACAUCCUAAUGGUGCAGCCGCUAUUAAGGGUUCGUUUGUUCAACGAUUAAAGUCCUACGUGAUCUGAGU
rnacentral:rRNA from 1 species